UCAACUUCAAGCAGAGCUCAGCUCAGUCCCAUCGCGGAUAUUGCAAGUGUUGUUGAAAGACAAACUGCUGCAACCUAUUUCUUGGUAUUUGCUUGGAGAAAUUGCUAGCCAAUUUCCAUCAUACAUUUCAUCAUACAUUU